CUGCAGCUACGAAGUACUUUUUCACUUCUCUGGAACAUUAUUCUAAGCAGAAUUAUCCCGAUUCAUAUAUUCUAAGAAUCUUGUGCGAAUUGUUUACGAGGAAAUUCUGACAGUCACAUUAACAAGGAUGAACACUCUUGACUCUGCUUCGGAUUCGGAUCAUCAUAUCAUUCCCCAGUGAUAAUUGUAUCGAGUGAUGAAAGAGCUGACGGCGACAUUUUAAUGUAUGAUUGACUUGGACCAUUGGAACGAAGUCAUUUCAUGGUGCCACCACUUGGGAUGGUAUUAGCUGCAAAUAUAGACUUGUACUCAGCACUUAUUGCCUUUAAGAAGUAUGAGAUCCAUUUUGUGCUAACACCUACCGUGACACAGAAUCUUGGUUUAUGCAGUCUCAUAGGAGUAACCUGUCUAAAGCAUUUAGCAAUGGGAUUGGAACCUGCGAUGUUUGACUCAUCUGAAUACUGAAUUUUGAUACCAAGCAUGACCAUGAUUUGCCAGAAGAUCAUCUGUUUGGAUGUGACAUGGAAUAAACAGCAUAGUCAAAAUAAGUCAAUUUUUGGUUGUGAAGACAAUUUUUAAACACACUGUGUAUCAUUUUUAGCUCACCUCAACGAAGUUGGGGGAGCUUAUGUAAUACCCUCGGCGUCGGCGUCGGCGUUGGCGUCCCAGGUUAAGUUUUUUGGAGCAGUUUUCUUUUUAAGUACUUCUAUGUCCUAUAUUGAUUAGACAUGCAUGGAAGAUGGUUCUAGUGUGUUUCAUUGUACCAGUCAAAGUUUCAGAUGCUGCAAUUUCAGCAAAGAAAUGACCAGGUUAAUGUUUUUGGAGCAGGUUAACAUUUUUGGUGCAGUUUUUGGUGUGGGUUUCAUUUCCAAGUAGCUAUAAGCCCUAUGUUGACCAAACUUGCAUGGAUGGUACAUCUAAGGAUGCAUACUACCAGGCUUGCUUCGGAUGCUGAAUCUGACCUACAUUUUCUGGUUGAGUGAACAGGUUAAAGUUUUUGGUGUAGGUUUCAUUUCCAAGUAACUAUAAGCCCUUUGUUGACCAAACUUGCAUGGAUGAUACAUCUAAGGAUGCAUACUACCAGGCUUGCUUCGGAUGCUGAAUCUGACCUACAUUUUCCGGUUGAGUGAACAGGUUAAAGUUUUUGGUGCAGGUUUCAUUUCCAAGUAACUAUAAGCCCUAUGUUGACCAAACUUGCAUGGAUGAUACAUCUAAGGAUGCAUACUACCAGGCUUGCUUCGGAUGCUGAAUCUGACCUACAUUUUCCGGUUGAGUGAACAGGUUGAAGUUUUUGGUGUAGGUUUCAUUUCCAAGUAACUAUAAGCCCUAUGUUGACCAAACUUGCAUGGAUGAUACAUCUAAGGAUGCAUACUACCAGGCUUGCUUCGGAUGCUGAAUCUGACCUACAUUUUCUGGUUGAGUGAAUGGGUUAAAGUUUUUCGUGAGUGAUUCAUUUCCAAGUAACUAUGAGUUCUUUAAUGACCAAACUUGCACGGACGAUACAUCUUAGGAUGCACACUUAUGGACUUGCUUCGGAUGCUGAAUUUGACAUACUUUUUUCAGAUAAUAGACCAGGUAAAAGUUAUGGGUGCAGGUCUAUUACCAAAUAACUAUAAGGCUUAUAUAACAUUGUUUAAACCAAACUUGCACAAAUGUUGCAUCAAGAGAUGAAAAAUCUCAAAUUUGCUUCAGAUGCUGGAUUUUGAUUACAUUUUCAUGAAGAAGAACUAGUUUAAAUUUGUUAUGUAGGUCUAUUUCAAAGUAUUAAAAUUGCUUAAAUAUUUUCAUUUUUGGAAUGUGCACUUUUUGUUGGUUAAUUGUGUGACUUUGCCUUACUUAAAGACAACAUUCGUUGAGGUGAGCUCUGUAAUCUCUGAUUACCUAUGUUUAAAUUUUGAUUUGACAACAUAAAUCCACAAAUAUGAACAUAUCAAUUGCUCUCAGUUUUUCAAGUGAAAUAGUUUUUGUAACAGAAAUACAUGUACCAGUAAUUACAUUGGAAUAAAUGUUAUUUUUAAAUAUAAUAUUUUGUUUGUGUAGCAUGUUGACCUCUUUAUUAAGGUCUUCCCUUUCAAAGUGUAGACUUACUUAUUCUAAUGAUUAAGAUAGGUCCUCUGUCUUCAGCAGGA